rnacentral:lncRNA from 1 species
UGGACAGCCUCCACUCAGCUGAGCAAACCCAGCACAUCCGGGCUGGAUCCACUUCUGCCUGACACUGCCAGGUCUUGCAAUGCACCAUGUGAGCUAGGUCUCCGUGAAGCCUGAGCGGUGACCACAGGGUUUAGUGCAUCCAUGCACUCACUAGAUGACAGAGGCCCCAAAUGAAAGGGAAGGAGAAAGGUGGAGAGAGACGAUGCUGAAGUUACCACCUGACUGACAGGUGCACUUACUGAACAUUCGGGACCUGGGAGGAAGUUGGUCGGGAUAUGCUUCAUUCUGCAUAGGAAAGACAGAAAGAGAGAACAAAAUGCUGCUCUUGGAUGAUGGAGAAGGAAAUGACCAAAUGUGAACAGUUCGCUCCGUCAGAGGUGGUUUGUCCAGAGGUGCUAAUAGCUUCCAAGUGUGCACAUGUGUGUGUAAUGUGCCCAUUCUACUCAUUCUUCCUCACAUUUGAACAAACCAGCCCAGAAAUAGAAAUGAUGAAACCUAAAGUGAAUGCUUACUUUGCCAUAGAAAAAAAGCUGCCUCUUCAGGGCAGACCUCAUCAUGUUUUCUAAGGAUAAGGCAAACUCCCCGUUCUGUGUGUUGUCGCGUGUGCACACGCGCACGCGCACACACACACACACAUCACACACACGUA